rnacentral:rRNA from 1 species
AUGAGAAAGAUUUAUCGCCGAAGGAUUGGCCCGCGUAAGAUUAGCUAGUUGGUGAGGUAACGGCUCACCAAGGCUAUGAUCUUUAGCUGGUCUGAGAGGACGAUCAGCCACACUGGGACUGAGACACGGCCCAGACUCCUACGGGAGGCAGCAGUGGGGAAUAUUGGACAAUGGGCGCAAGCCUGAUCCAGCCAUGCCGCGUGAGUGAUGAAGGCCUUAGGGUUGUAAAGCUCUUUCGGCGGGGACGAUAAUGACGGUACCCGCAGAAGAAGCCCCGGCUAACUUCGUGCCAGCAGCCGCGGUAAUACGAAGGGGGCUAGCGUUGCUCGGAAUCACUGGGCGUAAAGCGCACGUAGGCGGGUUGCCAAGUCGGGGGUGAAAUCCUGGAGCUCAACUCCAGAACUGCCUUCGAUACUGGCGAUCUUGGAGUCCGGGAAAAGUGAGUGGAACUGC